GGGGGGUUGUCCGAGUGGCUUAAACCAAGUCCGACUGACUUGGUGGCUUAGGGGCGGGCCUGCAGAGCCUGCGACGGGGGUUCGAUUCCCUCACCCCCCU
rnacentral:tRNA from 1 species